rnacentral:rRNA from 1 species
UGGCGGCAGGUCUAGGCAUGCAAGUCGAACGGAUGACAGAGAGCUUGCUCUCUGAAGUCAGUGGCGCACGAGUGAGUAACGCGUGGGAAACUGCCCUUCACUGGGGAAUAACGUUUGGAAACGAACGCUAAUACCGCAUACGCCCGCAAGGGGAAAGAUUUAUCGGUGAUGGAUGUGCCCGCGUUGGAUUAGCCAGUUGGUGGGGUAAUGGCCUACCAAAGCAAUGAUCCAUAGCUGGUCUGAGAGGACGAUCAGCCACGCUGGAACUGAGACACGGUCCAGACUCCUACGGGAGGCAGCAGCUAAGAAUAUUGGGCAAUGGAGGAAACUCUGACCCAGCCCAUGCCGCGUGAAUGAAGAAGGCCUUCGGGUUGUAAAGUUCUUUUAGUCAUGAAGAUGAUGACAGUAGUGACAGAAAAAGCACCGGCUAACUUCGUGCCAGCCGCUGC